UCAGAAGCGAUCUGCGCAUGCGCAGAAGCAAGGCGCAUGCGCAAGCGAAGUGACGCGAAUAGCUACCUUACUGGUAGUAAAGAAAUAGAUCAUACAUCAGACUGGAGACAGACAAAAGAAACCAACAGCUUUCCUUCCUUCAGGAUGUGAAUGGAAUGGUAUGAAGGGAUGUAGAUACAAUAUAAAGUUUCUUUAACUUUAGCAAUCUGAAGAGAAGGAGCUUC